AUGUUGUAUCAAACUACUGUCUUCUUGUAGUUGGAUCUCCAAGUUUUUGGAAUGCUCCAAAUUCCACCUGAGCGUCUAAAUCUGGAUCAAUACCAGCAAAAACAUCUCUGAACAAGGUUCGAGAGCCAUGCCAAAUGUGUCCGAAGAAGAAGAGCAGGGCAAACGAAGCAUGUCCAAAAGUAAACCAACCCCUUGGACUACUACGAAAAACACCAUCGGAUUUCAAAGUAGCACGAUCUAAUUCAAAAAUUUCACCCAAUUGUGCGCGUCUAGCAUAUUUUUUCACAGUAGCAGGAUCACUAUAACUGACUCCAUUUAGUUCACCACCAUAGAACUCAACAGUUACACCUACUUGUUCAACACUAUACUUCGAUUCUGCCCUUCGAAAAGGAACAUCGGCUCUAACAAUUCCGUCUCCGUCUACCAAAACAACCGGAAAUGUUUCAAAAAAAGUAGGCAUACGACGUACAAAAAGCUCACGCCCUUCUUUAUCUCUAAAUAGAGGAUGUCCUAACCACCCAAUAGCUAUUCCAUCCCCGUUAUCCAUUGAACCUGCUCUGAACAAUCCACCCUUUGCCGGAUUAUUUCCGAUGUAAUCAUAAAAAGCUAAUUUUUCAGGAAUUUUAGACCAAGCUUCGGAUAAGCUUUGAUUUUCAGCCAGCCCAGUACCAACUCUUCGAUAUAUUUCUUGCUGGAAGUAUCCUUGAUCCCAUUGAUAACGAGUGGGACCAAAUAAUUCAAUGGGGGUAGUUGCUGAACCAUACCACAUAGUUCCAGCAACAACAAAAGCUGCAAAAAAGACAGCAGCGAUACUACUGGAAAGCACGGUUUCAAUAUUUCCCAUACGUAAUCCUUUGUAUAGACGUUGGGGCGGGCGGACACUAAGAUGGAAUAGGCCCGCCAAUAUGCCCAAUGUCCCUGCUGCAAUAUGAUGAGAGGCUAUUCCUCCCGGAACAAAAGGAUCAAAACCUUCCACACCCCACGCUGGAUUUACAGAUUGUACUUUUCCGGUUAGCCCAUAAGGAUCAGACACCCAUAUUCCAGGACCAUACAAUCCUGUUACAUGAAAAGCACCAAACCCAAAACAAGCCACUCCUGAGAGAAAUAAAUGAAUUCCAAAGAUCUUGGGCAAAUCUAAAGAAGGUUUUCCUGUACGUUCAUCACAAAAGAUUUCUAGAUCCCAAUACACCCAAUGCCAGAUAGCUGCCAAGAAGCACAAGCCAGAAAACACAAUAUGCGCCCCAGCCACACCUUCAUAACUCCAAAUACCCGGAUUCGUUAUAGUUCCUCCUGUAAUACUCCAACCACCCCAUGAAUUGUUAUUCCUAAACGAGUCAUGAAGGGUAUAACGAACAUACCUUGUCUCCACAUUGGAUCGAGAACGGGGUCAGAAGGAUCAAAAACUGCUAAUUCAUAUAGAGCCAUCGAGCCGGCCCAACCAGCAACCAAAGCUGUAUGCAUUAUAUGGACAGCCAGCAAACGACCGGGAUCAUUCAAUACGACGGUAUGAACACGAUACCAAGGCAAACCCAUGGAAUACCCCCUUAUCAACGAAAGAUAGACACUAUGUAACUUUAUUGCACUGGAAAAAACUAUGUUAUGGACCUCCCUUUUUCAGUGGAUUAUCUCGGAGAAAGGAUUCCAUUUUUUUUUUAGUAUUUUAGUCAGAAUGUCACAAUUCUGUUUGUAGGAACAAAGAGAAGCAGAUCUAUUCUAUACCAGAUAAGUACCAAUACGCAAUGGGAGGUUGACUCCAUUUUAGAUGAGCGAAUGCAUACGGAUUUGUUCAUCAUUCAAAGAGCCUAUUCGUAAGAAUUUGACUUUAAUUCAUUUUGUCUUCUUUUUUUUUAUGUUAUGAACUUAUCGAAUCUGCGCAAAUAACAAUAAAUAAAGAAAUAGAAAAAAUAAUAAAAUAAAAGCCAAUAUCCAAUAUAAUAUUAUUAAGACAAUAAAUUCAUAUAAUAUUAUUAAGACAAUAAAUUCAUUGUUACGCUUUCACAUCAAAGUGAAAUAGAGUACUUCAUUUUUUUUUAUUUCAUUUAAUGCCUAUUGGUGUUCCAAAAGUCCCUUUUCGAAAUCCCGGAGAGGAUAGUUCAAAUUGGAUUGACGUAUAGUGCGACUUGUCAGAGACAUUGGGUCAUUAUGGGAUUUCCCCGUAAACGCGACGCGGCUUUAAAGGCAGCCAGCCGCCCAAACCUUGUAAGUUGUAACUAUGCACCUCAUUUUCUUUUUGGCGGUUGCUUUAGAUCUAUGCUUUGGAGGUAUUCAGAUUAAUAUUAUCAAUUAGAAUAAUUUAUGGUUAGCUUGUUUGGACCAAGAAAAUGAAGUAUCCAGGCUCCGCUUAGAAAAACCCAAUUAGUACUAUAUCCAUGAUUACUAUUUGUAUCAUAUUCUAUUUAUAAAUUUUAUAAAUUAGAAAUAGGAGUAAUUUAAAACUACUAAUCAUAAUCAAUCGAAUAAUUUGAUAAAUACGUCAAAUAUUUUGAAAAAUCUUUGAAAAUGGGUUACAAGAAACAAAUGUGGGCCCCACCAUGAGCGGCCGCCGCGCCUCCUCUACCUGACUAUUUCACACGUGGACCCCUUGCCUAAGCCACAAUUUCUUAAAAGGGUAAUGGCACGAAUCUUAUCUUUCCAGUAGACUUUUAAACAUACACUUUUUUCCAGUUAUAAUACUCCAUUUUAAUCGUCUUGUUUUCCUAUGUUAAUUUAGCCCAACAUGUACAAUUUAUAAUGUUUUUUUUAUUAUUAUUAUUAUUUCUUCUAUUAAACGAUAUCCUUCAAUUAUUGGACAUUUAUUAUGGAUUAGACCCGACAUUUUAAUUCUAUAUAUUUCAUUUUUAUCUUCGUUGUUAUAAAAUCAUGACACGUCUUAGAUAAAAAUAAAAAAAUACAGUGUGAGAAUAAUUUUCAUGCAAUUAUAAAUAUUAUUCUGUUUGUUUUUGUGUUUUAAAAAUAUUUAAAAAAAAAUUAAAAUUUUUUUAUUUUUUUAUUUGCUUUAAAUUAAUAGUUUUUUUGAUGUUUUUAGAUCGUUUUGAUGUGUUGAUGUUAAAAAUAAUUUUUAAAAAAUAAAAAAAUAUUAUUUUAAUACAUUUCUGAGUAAAAAAUAUUUUGAAAAACAACCGCAAGAACACUCUCAAAUACAGUCGAACAAUUUUAACUCUAUUCUUUCAUAAUUGUUUUGUGGGAUAUUCAUUUCCAUCAUACAAUGGUCGAAGUUCAUUGCAUUUUUGUAUUUUGAAUUAAAACAACCGCAACAAUAAUCUCAAAUACACUCGAACAAUUUUAACUCUAUUCUUUCAUAAUUGUUUUGUGGGAUAUUCAUUUCCAUCAUACAAUGGUCGAAGUUCAUUGCAUUUUUGAAUUUUGAAUUAAAGAAAUUAAUUUUCUUCCAUGUCAUGGAUUUCACCACGUCGCUUACAAAUCUUAAAACUAUAGACGGAAAAUACAUAUAAAAAGGAGCUCAGAUCUUCAGUUCCAUUUUCCUUAUUAAUUGUUAUGUUCUUAAACAUAGGAUUAAUGAAUCGUUUUCGUAAACACAUUGAUUGCUUUAGUAACUCGUCAUCUUUUCCUAGAAGGAAAAAACCUCUCCGUCUCGUCAAGCAAUAGCUAAUGUUACUUCAAUCAUGAAAGGAGGCAUCAAAUGUUGGAAAUAUAAAACGCAAAUUUUUUGAAGAACAGGAGGUAUCCAAAAACAGAAAGAAAAAAAACAGAAAAAAAAAAAAAAGACUGCUCAGCGUUCACUGUGGACUUGUACAGUGAAACACUGAGCAUUUUUAGUUUUUUCUUAAUUAUAAAUGUAACGAGAUUGUUCAUUCUCUUGGUUCUUCAUAAAUUAUUAUAGAUUAACUAUCUUUGUAUAUAACAUGUAUUCUUAUAUUUUUAGUUCAAGGUAAAGAUUUUCAUUCAAUAACUUCUAUUUCUUGAUUCAAGUAAUUAUUUGAUGGUUUUUUAUCGAUCUAAUUUUAGAUUGUAUUUUUUCUUGUUUAUGGGUUCUAGAGUUAUUAACAUGUAAGUUCACAUCACUUUAUAUGAAUUAAGAGAGAGACACACAAAUUUAUUAAAAAACAUUUUACGGUUUGAGAGCUACAAACAUGUCUGAUGCAAAAUUGAAAAAGCUUUAAUGGCUAAAACUCAUGAAGCAACUUAUGAACUUUUAGAGGAAUUGACAUCCAAUAACUAUCAAUCACCUUCUAAGAAAGCAAUGCAAAGAAAAGCAAUUGAAGUUUUUGAACUUGAUUUUAUUACGCACAAAUAAUAACUUUAUCUAAAGAACUAAGUAAGAUCAAACCAAUAUUGUGUGUGAUUAUUGUGAAUGAAAUACUCAAAUAUCAAUUGCCAAAUAGGAAAGCCUUUUGCUAAACCAAAUUUCAAGGAAAUUAAUUAUAUGUUUAAUUUUCAAUGUCAAAACAAUCCUUAUUUAAAUAUAUUUAUGCAAUAUUUGUUUUAACUGUUUACAAAUAUUUUGUUUUCUUUUACUUUAAAUUAAUAUUUUUUUGUAUUUUUGGAUUGUUUUGAUAUGACGAGGUCAAAAAUAAUUUUUUUAAAAAAAAAUAUUAUUCUGAUACAUUUCUAAAAAAAAAACACUUUGAAAAAAAAUAUCUAUCAUAAUCUCAAACACGUUAUCAAUCUCGAUUGAAGAAACCACCUUAAUAUUUCAUAUAACAACAAUAAAAGGGAAACUAGACCAACUAAAGAUUUCCCAUAGUAAAAUAGAAGCCAACAUUUGAGCAAUUGCAUAUUAAUAUUCCUUUUUUGAAGCUUUAGAGAAAAUUCCUAAAUAUGCUAAUGGAAGUUGGAAGCUGGAAGAGUACGAGACAAUGAUGCUAAUUGAAGAGAGUAGGAAUUUCUUUAAACAAGGAAGCCAAAAGUAGAAGAUAUUAGGUAUAACACUGAGAAAAUAAAAUCAUCCAUUCAAGAGACACCUAAUAAUAGAAUAGAAAAAAUAGAACAACAAAAAAUGGAAAAGAAUUGUCUUUUUUAUAUACUUUCUUCAGUUUUGUUGUACCAUGUUCUUUACGUAAUUGAUGAGGUCAUAUAGAUAUCUUUUCAACACAACAUAAGUUAUUGAAAGGAUCUUGGAGACCCAUCAAAGCAUGAAAGCUAGGAUAUUUUAGAAUAUGAAUUCAUAUUCAAAGAGUGCAUAACUGAAUAGAUAAGCUUAUACUAAUCUGUCAAUUUGGGAUCCAAUUCAAGAUUUUUCUUGGGAGGUGUCAGAAAGAAUUUGGAAUGUAAUAAAAUCAAUUCAUAUAGAUAGAGAAGAAAAUGUUAUCUAUUGAUUCAAAUGAUUUACCCAUGGGAUAGGGGUAAAAAAAGAUGAAAAACUGAAGAUUUCACAUAGUACUUUUGAUCGAAAAUUAAAUAUGAUUUAUUUUGCACCCUUCGCUAAAUGAGAAAGUGAAUCAGAUUCUACAUGAUCAAACUUAGAGGACUUAAAAAAUUAUGGAAGGAUAAAAAAAGGAGGGGAAAAUAAUAAAUAAAAAGAGCUUAAAUUCUAAAUGAACAAACUCAAACUUAAAAAAAAUCUUUCUAAUUCUCAAAUAUUAAGGGGCAAAGAGAAUGAUAGAAAAAUAAAAUAAAAUGACUAGACUAAAUUUGCGGACCUUGCUCCGACCCAUAUGUAUUGGCUUUGUUGUAACAAGCCCCUUUCUUUAUUCAUUUGGGGUUUUUUAGCUUCUUCUUCUUCUUCUUCUUUUUCUUUUAUCUUUUAGGUUUUUCUUUUCAAUUCCAUCCUUUAGUAUGAGAUUUUUUUAAUUUUAUUCUUCAGUAUUGUGUUGAUAGUAAAUUAUUUUUUGUAUUUUUUCUUAUUAAAUAAAAAAAUAAAAAAAUUAAUGCAACCAAGUGGAGUCCAUAACCAAGGUUGCAGUUUUUGUGGGUUAACUAGGGAUAACCUGGCUUAUUCUUUUUUUUUUUCUUUGAUUUUUUCGGACAUAUCCAGUCAAUAAGGUCACAACGAGACAACUCUCACAUAAUUUAAUUUAAAACUUGGACUAAGUAAAGAGUCGAGUUGAGAGUUUUUAAAUUUGAACAGUUAUAUCGAGCUUAAUAACAGUGCCAAAUAAGUUAUGAUGAUCUAAAUAUUAUUUUUUUACUUUCAAUUCUUUUCUGUCCAAGCCACAACGAUAGCAUUAGCACGAGAAAUAACUUAGUUAAACCUAUGUCAUUUGCUAGAAAAUUCGACAUACAGACAGUGAAACAACAUGUGUACCCCCACAUUCAUCAAUGCACUAGCAUGAGAUACUAUUAUAAACAAAUUGUUAGGACGAAAACCUUCGAACAGGCCAUCCAAAUGAACAACAUAAUUUGAUAUUGGAAGUCCAACAUGUCUAGUUAUGACCAAAUUGUUAAUCACAUACGGAGAAGAAUUGUUGUUGAACAUAUUAAUUAUAUAUUUGAUAUUGUAGUAAUUUUUAUGGUUGUGGUUUAAAAAAAAUUAUUUUAAAAAAGCACUUUUAAUUGUGUUUAGUUUGAUCAAAUAUGUGAUUGAUUAAAACUAUGGUUAAAGUUGAUGUUGAAGAAAAAACAAUUUAAAGAUGUUUGGUUAAAAUUUCUUUUAAAAGUGAUUUUGAUAAAAAUAACUAAAAAAGACAUAUAGUAAUUUUAUAGUUUUAGAAUUAAAAUGUUAUAGAUUGGAUUAUUAAUAUAUCAUGAAAUCAAGAAUCCUUUAUUAAGGUCCUACUCAAAGUUGUCAAAAACGUUUUUUUGACACGACAUGAAAUAUACAAUAUAAACUCGGAUCGUAAACUCGAAUCGUAAAAUCGUAAAAUCACAAGAAAAAUAUUUUAACUAAUUAUAUAUUGACAAUUUUAGUCAAGUAGUAAAUAAUAAUAUAACACAAUUAAAAUAAAAGUGAAAUAAACAAUACAAAUGUCCAAACACCUUAAAAUACACAAUUCAAAUAAAAAUUCAUACAUAGUUUAAAUAAUUUAAAAAUACGAAAAUAAAAAAAAUAAGAUUGAACAACUAUGUUUUAUUAAUAGAGUUUCAGANNNNNNNNNNNNNNNNNNNNNNNNNNNNNNNNNNNNNNNNNNNNNNNNNNNNNNNNNNNNNNNNNNNNNNNNNNNNNNNNNNNNNNNNNNNNNNNNNNNNNNNNNNNNNNNNNNNNNNNNNNNNNNNNNNNNNNNNNNNNNNNNNNNNNNNNNNNNNNNNNNNNNNNNNNNNNNNNNNNNNNNNNNNNNNNNNNNNNNNNNNNNNNNNNNNNNNNNNNNNNNNNNNNNNNNCCAAGCAAGACAUGUAUUCGAAGUUCUCUCUGAGUCUUUGUCGUCUCUCUUGUAGUGAAACAAAUGGUUAGUCUAAAACACAGUAUUUCUCUCUAUAUAAGUAUUCCUAUCUUUUAUUUUACUUCUUUGAUUCCUCACCAUCUACCUCUGUCUUCCCAUGGUUUCGAUCCUCCGAUCAUGCCUUCCCGGCCUAAAAUACAGUAUAAGGCUUCCCUAUACUCAAGAUCCUCUAAUGCUGGUAUUAGUCAGCUAAGAUUGAAAAUUUGAGAUUUGGGCAAUGAGGAAAGGGGAGACUGGGGAGUGGGAACUAUGUAGUGGAGUGUCAGGGGUCUCGGACAAGGAGGCCGUAAAUUUUUUAACUUUUGCGGGUUAAAACUUGAAAUUGGUCAAACUCGGUCAAAAUCGAUCGAUUUUACCGAGUUUGACCGAUUUUGACCGAGUUUGACCGAUUUCGAGUUUUAAACCGAUUUGACACGUUAUAUACAUGUUGACUCGUAAAAUCGUAAGAUUUUAAAAGUCAACUCGCGAUUUUAACAACAAUGGUUUUACUUUUAUUAUCCCUAAUUCCAUCUCGUACAUAAUCCAUCCAAGAAGGCCUUUAGUAUCCAACACUAGUUUCAGAAAUCAGUUUCUUCUACAUCCUCCAAUCCUUUUUACAACCAUCCCAUUUGUUUUUUAGUUUUGACUCGGUGAAAGCAUGACUAGCUUGUUCUUUAAAGGCAAUCAACAGAAUUUCUAACCAAUUUUAUUAAAAUGAGUGUUUUGUCUUGUUCCCAUAUUAAUAGCUUUGAUGCAAAUAUCAACAAAAGUAUGCACCAUUUUCUUUGUUCAAAUAGCUUUAUCCAGACUUUUAAAACAAUCCAUUACUUUGUUUGAUGACCUGAAUCAAAAUACACAAUCACUAAAAUAAGUAUUAAAUAGUAACUCAAAUUAUCAUAAAAAAUAAAUAUAUAUGAUAGUAUAUAUAUGAUAGUAUAAAGAUUAUGGAACUAACUUAAUGUUUCUCACUCUUUCUCUCCAAUGUCAUUUGUAAGUUUAAACUAUAUGUUUCAAUUGUGCUAAUUAAAUGUGGUCUCAGUUAGUAGGUGGUCUAGUGGUAAGAGCUUUGGAUCAAGAGGUUUGCUUCCCCUGUGGUCCCAGGUUUGAGCCAUGUGGUUGCUAAUAUAAUAGUUAUUGGAAGUUUACAUGGUCGUUAACUUCAGGGCCAGCGAGAUUAGUCGAAAUGCGCGCAAGCUGGCCCGAACACCUACGUUAAUAAAAAAAAAAUUAUGCUAACUAAAUCUGUGUUUUACAACCUCAAUGGACCGUAUGCUUUAGAUUCCUUAUAAUAUAUAUACUGUUUAGGUGCAAAUAAUUAUAUAUAUUAAAGACUUUUCUUCUCUUCUCUUUUUGAUUCACACAUCUAAAGUUGUUAGUUCAAAAUAAUGGAUGCGUACGGAAGUAAUCAUUGGUAUGUAUCCAAGGAAUUAGCCAGGUCAAAUAAUACCAAUACCCUUUUAGGAAAAAUUAAGAAGUUGAUUAGUAGAGUAGUUAAUAGUAAUCAAAUGUUGUAAAUAAUUGAAUAAUUUUGAGUUUCAAAUUAAGAUAUGAUCAUUUUGGAUAAUAGCUUGAUGAGACUUCCAUUAUAGAAUGUUAAUUUGUUUUGAUAAAGCAAAAAUCCAAAGUAGUGGUAACUAGUAAGUUAAAGGAGAAGGGAAGCGCAAUAUGAGCACAGUGAAAUCAAAGCUUCCAACUUCAAGUACUAAAAAAAGAUCACGUGAGAGGUCGAGGAGAAGAAGCACCUUGCCGCCGCCACCAAUACCAAACGCAAUUAUAUGUGAGUAAAGAAAGGGACAGUCUUUGUAUUGUUCAAAGAGUGUGUAGUUUUAUUGGUUAGAUUUUAGGUUUGUUUAUUAAAAAUUACUGGUUCAAGUCUCAUAAAUUUCAGAGUCAUUGGAGACUUAUAUGAUUGUUAACUUUAGAGCCUGUAAAAUUAGUCAAGAUGCGCGGAAGCUGACUCAAACACCCACGUUAAUAAUAAUAAAAAAAAAAAACUUUGGUCUGCUCUACAUUUAUUGUCUUAAAUUAAAAUUUGCUUAGAGAAACAUCGUCUACUUCUUCACCUUUUCCUCUUCCCUGUCCCAAAAGUCCAAUCCACUAGUCUUUCAAUUCUGAGUCACCAUUCCUAUGAAACACACUUAUCCAUUUCUCCACAUUCCUAUUUCUCUUUCUCUUCCUGUAGGGAGUAUUAUUUUUUAUACCCCGCUUUCAUUCACAGUCAUCUUUAAAAUAAAUUUUUUUUCCUCCCCACAUCAAAAUUGGUUCAUAACAACCAGCAGAAAGAAAUGAAAUUCCUAAAACAUUACCAGAUAGCUCGUUUUUUGCAAAGAGAAGCCUAUACAAUAAGGGAUUUCUUCUGUAAUUAGAAUUAUUUUGUUGGUUUUGUUAAACCGCUCAAAACAAGAAGACAAAUACAAAGUGAAGGAGUGUAGAUCAAUGUACCUAUAUGCUAUGACAGUUCCACUUCCCUAACCACAAAACAAUUGUUUUGGUCUUGGACUGCUAAGCACAGAUCCACACUGAAUUAUCAAGAUCUUGUUAUUUGUCAAAACAAACAACAACUUCUUCUUUUGAGCAGUAGUUAUUUGUCAGUUUGGCACUUCUGUUAUUGCUACUGCCAUUGGCUUAGAGAUGUCAGUGUUUAGAGGACUCUUAGAUAUGGUAAUCUUUAGCAGGUAUUUCUUAGCAAGUGUUUAGAGGCCUAAAUUACAAACCAGAGACUAAUUCUGCAGUAAACUGGAUUGGAGUAGCCAUUUUGUUAGGUCUAGUGCUAAAUUCUGGGGAAGGAGAUUACUUUACUUUCCUAGAUUUUACUCAUACUCUGGCCAAACUGAUCAGCACAUGAAGAAGCAAGUGGAGGGAAACCAUGAAAGGGAUUUGAGGAACACAUUAGGAAAUUUUUUGUUGAGAUUCUCUUAAGGUUGGCUUUGUCUACUGAUUUUGGUCCUCAUUAAAGUUCGGAUCAUGUAUGUACUUGCUCUCUGUUAGACUAAUAUUUUAAAGAAACGCCUUAUCAGAAUUUUUGUUAUGAUUAAUUACAUGGAAGAUGAAAUCCUUUAGCUCAUACUAUUUUGAGUCCAACUAAGAAGAGUUCGUUGCUUGCCUUGUUGUAGCGGUGAGGCAGUCACAAGGUUCCCAGGCUAGGCAAUGAAUUUAACAGAUCCCAGACAUGUAAAAUGAACAUUCCCUUGAAUUUGACAGAUUCUAGACAUGCAAACUCACUUAAAUGGUCCUAAAUCUUUGACUUUGUGUUUGGAAAUCCCAAUAUACACUGAGUAUUGGUAUGUCUACCCUUUGAGUUUAUUGUCUACCCUUUGACUUCUCCCCCUCCAUCUCUGAGUUGGUAUCUCAGAUCUCUCGAAGUAGUAUCACAGAAUUCUGCUCCUUGCUCUAAAAUUCAAGCAUGCACUAUUUUGAAUGUAAACCAGUAGGCACUGCAACAUAAUUAUUUUCUUGGAAAUUUAUUCCCAUCCUGUUGUAUUUCAUCAUCAUUUAAAUUGGUUUUUGUUUUGAAUGUACUAUUUCAUAUAACAUUGUUUGCAUGCUUGCAAAUUAUAGCCUAACAAUCUUUUAGAUCACCUGAGACAACAAAUUUGAUUUGUUUGUUUUAGGUUUAUUAAUGGUUAGUUAAUAAAAAUCUAUGAACAUGAAUAAUAAUUCUAUUGUAUUUUUAAGUUACUAAAUCUUUUCUUGAAUUAUGUAUUUUAUACUUGAACUAUAUAUGAAAAUAAAAUUACUAAACAAAAGUUGAAAAACAUAAAAUGCCACAAUAUCAAGCUUCUUUUGCAGUAUUAUAUAUUUAUUCAAUCCCCAGUUCCUGUUUGAUCUGCAAAGCAGCUUCAUAAAUCUCCUUUUGGUCACUUAAAGACUUGGAGACGCUCUCCUUUUGCAAGCAUCUCUCACCCCACUUCACGAGCUUAGGGAACUCGGCUACCAUGCUCCAGUUUCCUAGGGUCUCAAAGGUGUAAAAGAAGCUGUAGAACGGAAUAAGUGCCAAGUCUAUAUAGCCAAAGCUCUCAUCCCCAAAAUAUUGCUUGUCUCCGAGUUCUUCUUCCAAGAUUUUAAAGCACUGAAACAAGUCCUUCUUCGAUGAUUCUUUGACCUCACCUUCAGAUGCCCAUAGAUUCCUUCCAAUAGGAUAAAUCUGGACGUAACCAAUUUGCAUGUCAAUACUUCAUUAAUGUUUCCUUUCAAAAACUAAACAGAGUAAGACAGAGAAAACAAAUCAGUACUAGGAACUUACCUUCUUGUCGAUGUAGUCAGCCCAAAACCUGGCAUGUGCACGUCGAUAAGGAUCAGAAGGCAACAAUGAAGGUUUAUGGCUCCAAACCUCAUCAAUAUAUUGAACUAUGAUCAUUGACUCACAGAUGGGUCUCCCAUUAUGGAUUAAGACAGGGAUUUGCUGAUGAACUGGGUUCAUCUUGAGAAGAGUAGAGCUCUUGUUGCUCAAGUCCUCUACCUUAGAUUUAUAUUCUAUUCCCUUCUCUUCCAAAGCUAUCCUCACCCUUGCUGCAAAGGGACUCAUCUCAAAAUCCAGUAGAACCACUUCAUUAGCCAUUUGUUGCACAAAGAGAAUCAAGAUUUUUCGCAGUUUUUCAAUUUGCAAUGAGGAACUGAGGCGAAAACAAGAAUUUAUAGCAGAAGAUGAGACCUUUGCAUGUGGAGUGUUCAGUCUCCCUUGAAUUUCUAGGUGCUUCGCUUUUGUCGUCAUUGCUUGCAUCAGAAUGGUCAACAUUAUUGUUGACAGGUUGGGAUUUUCCUGGGAAACCUCCUCGCAUGUUACAAAUAUUCUUCUUGUAAAAUUAUUAAAGCGAAUUAGACUAGUCAUCACAAGAGAAGGAUCCAGAAUCUCAAAAUCUUGGAGAACAAUGCCAAGAUUUUUUUCGCCCUCGUUUCAUCGCAUAAGGCAGGAUAAAAAUUAAAGCAGCGGCUCUUUAUUAGAUUUCAACAAAUAAGAAAUCAAAACGUUACCAUGGCAAAGUAGUGGUGGAAUAACUAAAUUAAAGCCAGUUUUACUCCCCGUUUUUCUAGAUUUUUUCUUCAAAAGAAAGUAAUUAAAAUAUGAAAGAAGUGUUUGAUAAGAAUUUUGAAAUUAGCUGUUUAAAUUUUGAGAGUAAGAGGGUAAUUUUUAUAAAAACAGAUUAAAUGUAUAUUAGAUUUCACUUCAAAAACUAUGAGUAAUGUUUUUUUAUAUAUAAAUAAAAUGCUACUUAAAUAUUUUAAAAUUAGCUAACCUCAAUCAUA
rnacentral:lncRNA from 1 species